rnacentral:rRNA from 1 species
AGUCGAGAAUUUUUCUCAAUGGGCGAAAGCCUGAAGGAGCGACGCCGCGUGGGGGAUGAAUGGCUUCGGCCCGUAAACCCCUGUCAUUUGCGAACAAGUUAUUUCACCUAACACGUGAAGUAUUGAUUGUAGCGAAAGAGGAAGGGACGGCUAACUCUGUGCCAGCAGCCGCGGUAAUACAGAGGUCCCAAGCGUUGUUCGGAUUCACUGGGCGUAAAGGGUGCGUAGGCGGUCGGGUAAGUCUGACGUGAAAUCUCCGAGCUCAACUCGGAAACUGCGUUGGAUACUAUCCGGCUCGAGGAAUGGAGGGGAGACUGGAAUACUUGGUGUAGCAGUGAAAUGCGUAGAUAUCAAGUGGAACACCAGUGGCGAAGGCGAGUCUCUGGACAUUUCCUGACGCUGAGGCACGAAAGCCAGGGGAGCAAA